rnacentral:tRNA from 1 species
GGACAGAUGGCCGAGCUGGUUAUGGCGCCAGGUUAAGGUGAACCCUUAGCACAAUUUCCUGGUCACGAAAGUGGCGUGGGUUCGAGUCCCACUCUGUUCA